GAGAAACUUUUUCUCACUGUUUAAACUCUUAGAAUGACUUGUUAGAAUAGAAUCAGCAAUUCCUGAGGCCAAUAGAUUGAAGGCUCCUAAGAUCUAUUACUGUUUGGCUUACUACUGGUUAGAAUUGAAAUUGAAUUAUGAUUUCAGUUGGCAUUUCAGUUCUCUAUUCAAAUUGAAUUAUGAUUUCAGUUGGUAUUUCUUGGAGCAAUAUCAUCUGAAGAAACUUUUGUUGCCAGAUAUUUUCAUUUUUUUGCUUACAUUGAAGAUAUAUCUUAUCAUCUGCUUUUUUGGCAUCAAGA
rnacentral:lncRNA from 1 species